UGUACACGCUGUGACUAGCAUAUCAAUAAGCGGAGGAAAAGAAACUAACAAGGAUUCCCCUAGUAACGGCGAGUGAAGCGGGAAGAGCUCAAAUUUGAAAUCUUAAAGGGUUUCCCUUUACGAAUUGUAGUUUAAAGAAGUGUUUUCUGUUGAGGUUUUGGUAAAAGUUCUUUGGAAUAGGACAUCAUAGAGGGUGAGAAUCCCGUAUUUGACCUUUACUUUCAACUUUGUGAUACACUUUCAAAGAGUCGGAUUGUUUGGGAAUGCAGUCCAAAAUGGGUGGUAAAUUUCAUCUAAAGCUAAAUAUUGGCGAGAGACCGAUAGCGAACAAGUACCGUGAGGGAAAGAUGAAAAGAACUUUGAAAAGAGAGUUAAACAGUACGUGAAAUUGUCAAAAGGGAAGCGUUUGACACCAGUGUUGUUUUCUCUGAAAAUCAAUUAAAGAACUGUUUAUGCUAAGUUGUUUAGACUUUAUCAGCUAUCUGUUUAGUUUUGAGCUUUUCUUUAAUGCACUUUUCAGUUAACAAGUCAACAUCAAUUUCUUUUGCUGUAAAAAAGCUUGAGGAAGGUGGCUUGAGAUUCGUCUUAAGUGUUUAUAGCCUCUUGCCUAUGCAGUCGGAGAGAUUGAGGUCUGCAGCGUAGAUCCUUCGGGGCUAAAUGCAUUUGUGCUAAGUUAUAGCAUUUUAUAGACAACUUGUUGACUAUGAUUUGUCUUGUAGCUUACUCGCUUAUGUUAUUUUACCUACGCUUAGGAUGUUGAAGAUGUAGCACAUCAU
rnacentral:rRNA from 1 species